rnacentral:rRNA from 1 species
UGGGGAAUAUUGCACAAUGGGCGAAAGCCUGAUGCAGCGACGCCGCGUGAGGGAUGACGGCCUUCGGGUUGUAAACCUCUUUCAGUAGGGACGAAGCGCAAGUGACGGUACCUGCAGAAGAAGCACCGGCUAACUAUGUGCCAGCAGCCGCGGUAAUACGUAGGGUGCGAGCGUUGUCCGGAAUUACUGGGCGUAAAGAGCUCGUAGGCGGUUUGUCACGUCGUCUGUGAAAUCCUAGGGCUUAACCCUGGACGUGCAGGCGAUACGGGCUGACUUGAGUACUACAGGGGAGACUGGAAUUUCUGGUGUAGCGGUGGAAUGCACAGAUAUCAGGAAGAACACCGAUGGCGAAGGCAGGUCUCUGGGUAGUAACUGACGCUGAGGAGCGAAAGCAUGGGUAGCGAACAGG